AGCCUAAACCUUGCAAAAGGCAUGGUUCCAGACCUCGACAGAUGUAAAGCUCUUCCAAGAGCGCUGUCGAGGCUAUCAAUCGAAAGGUUGAUAGGUGGUGAAAGCCAUC
rnacentral:sRNA from 1 species